UCCCACCGACUGGUCCUUGGCAUUUGUAGCUAAUUUGCUCUCGCGUUGUUGUUCCUGUGUGUGAAGCGCACACGAUGACCAGCACAGGGAUUUCACCUCGUCCUUGAGAGUGAGGGAGACACGAAUAACCCGAACACAUCGGCAGCUCGACCCAACUCUCACCUCUAGCCUACCUUUUCCUCUGAGAUAUCACGGACCAAGCCGUCCUUGCGACUCGCCCCAAGGCCCUGAUCCUGAAUCAACUUCCUCUUCAUCCUCACCUCAACCAUUAGGACGUUUAACACCAAACUGACCUCAGAGCAGCCUGUAGCCUCGUCCUAAUGGCAGUGUCUCUUUAGAAGCCAUCUGAAUGGCUUCUUCUGCUGGACGUGACCUCACAUCCUCCAUCAUGGUAGUGUCAGCGAGACUCACAGGGUCCUGCUCUCUGGCUGUCAGAAUGGCUGUGUUUCAGGCUUAGACUGGCACAGUCCUGGAAUCUCUGUCAGACUUGGGUGAUUCUAGAAUAUCUGUCAGACUGUCUGUUGUAGACCCUCUGUCAGACUGUCUGUGUUCUAUAGUGCUUGUGUUCUAUCUGGCUGUGUUGUAGUUUCUGAGUUCAACGUCAUUUACCCAAUGUACUAAGCUGUGUCAGUGUCCUUGUUCCAAGCCAGAUGCUUGGCCCAGUCAGGUCGGGUUCUGAGGAAGCGCUGGGAGGGGUGUGUGUGUGUUUGUGGGUGUGGACGUGUCUGUGUGUGUGCGUUUGUUUGCACAAACACACCAGGUGCUUUACCGUCCUUCCUCUGAGUGUGUUUGUGUUGUUUUUAUACUCUGUGAUUGAUGUAUUUCUGACAAUAGCUUCAGGGAGGGAAUUGUAGACCUACUGGUCAGCUCUCUGUAUUGGGCCUUAAUUGACGUUUUUUUGUGUGUGCUUAUGUGUUUAUGUUGUGUGUGAGUGUGU